rnacentral:rRNA from 1 species
GGGAUAACACUUGGAAACAGGUGCUAAUACCGUAUAACACUAUUUUCCGCAUGGAAGAAAGUUGAAAGGCGCUUUUGCGUCACUGAUGGAUGGACCCGCGGUGCAUUAGCUAGUUGGUGAGGUAACGGCUCACCAAGGCCACGAUGCAUAGCCGACCUGAGAGGGUGAUCGGCCACACUGGGACUGAGACACGGCCCAGACUCCUACGGGAGGCAGCAGUAGGGAAUCUUCGGCAAUGGACGAAAGUCUGACCGAGCAACGCCGCGUGAGUGAAGAAGGUUUUCGGAUCGUAAAACUCUGUUGUUAGAGAAGAACAAGGAUGAGAGUAGAACGUUCAUCCCUUGACGGUAUCUAACCAGAAAGCCACGGCUAACUACGUGCCAGCAGCCGCGGUAAUACGUAGGUGGCAAGCGUUGUCCGGAUUUAUUGGGCGUAAAGCGAGCGCAGGCGGUUUCUUAAGUCUGAUGUGAAAGCCCCCGGCUCAACCGGGGAGGGUCAUUGGAAACUGGGAGACUUGAGUGCAGAAGAGGAGAGUGGAAUUCCAUGUGUAGCGGUGAAAUGCGUAGAUAUAUGGAGGAACACCAGUGGCGAAGGCGGCUCUCUGGUCUGUAACUGACGCUGAGGCUCGAAAGCGUGGGGAGCGAACAGGAUUAGAUACCCUGGUAGUCCACGCCGUAAACGAUGAGUAUAGGUGUUGGAGGGUUUCCGCCCUUCAGUGCUGCAGCA